AUGUGUAAUAGGGAAGGAUUCAAGUCAAAAGAUAGUAACGAGACAGAUGACCCCUUGAAGAAAAGGCGUAAGCAAACAAAUACGCGAUGCGGUUGUGAUGCCCAUAUCUUUGUUAGACUUUGUGGGGACAACACCUACAAGAUAGACUCAUGGGUUGAGCACCAUGUUCAUGGUCUUGUAUCACCUAAUAAGCGGCAUUUGAUCAGAUCGAAUCGUACAGUUAGUGAGAGGGCAAAGAAUACUUUAUACACAUGUCAUAAGGCAAGCAUUGGAACCUCUCAGGCAUAUAGGCUCCUGCAAGUUAGCGAGGGCGGAAUUCCGAAUGUUGGCUGCUCAAAGAGGGACUUGCAGAAUUACUACCAAGCACUCAGGUAUAAAAUCAGAGAUGCAGAUGCUCAAAUGUUUAUGGCCCAAUUAGCUAGAAAGCAUGAAGUGAAUUCAGCAUUUUUCUAUGAUUUUGACGUGAAUGAUGCGGGGAAGCUAUUGCGUGUGUUCUGGGCGGAUGCCACAGGCAGGAAGAACUAUAGUCACUUUGGUGAUGUCAUAUCCUUUGAUUCUACAUAUACCACUAAUCAGUACAACAUGAUAUUUGCACCAUUUACCGGGGUUAAUCAUCACUUACAAAGUGUAUUUUUUUGCUGCUGCAUUCUUAUCAAAUGA
rnacentral:rRNA from 1 species